GAUGAACGCUGGCGGCGUGCCUAAUACAUGCAAGUCGAGCGAACAGACGAGGAGCUUGCUCCUCUGACGUUAGCGGCGGACGGGUGAGUAACACGUGGAGAACCUACCUAUAAGACUGGGAUAACUUCGGGAAACCGGAGCUAAUACCGGAUAAUAUAUUGAACCGCAUGGUUCCAUAGUGAAAGACGGUUUUGCUGUCACUUAUAGAUGGAUCCGCGCCGCAUUAGCUAGUUGGUAAGGUAACGGCUUACCAAGGCGACGAUGCGUAGCCGACCUGAGAGGGUGAUCGGCCACACUGGAACUGAGACACGGUCCAGACUCCUACGGGAGGCAGCAGUAGGGAAUCUUCCGCAAUGGGCGAAAGCCUGACGGAGCAACGCCGCGUGAGUGAUGAAGGUCUUCGGAUCGUAAAACUCUGUUAUUAGGGAAGAACAAAUGUGUAAGUAACUAUGCACGUCUUGACGGUACCUAAUCAGAAAGCCACGGCUAACUACGUG
rnacentral:rRNA from 1 species